GUUCAUCAUUCCAUGCAAGUGUUGUCUCCAUACAUUAAUUUUCUCAUCUUCUCAGACAUACAAACAUGAAAAUUCUUUGGUUUCUUCAACUCCUGUUCUGCCUAGCGCUGCUUCUCAUCAAUCCCUCUGUUGCUCCCAAUGCUCCAGCUCCUCCUUCAGGUGGUGACUUGGAUGUGCCAGAAAGACGCCCUGCACCGCCACGCAAGAUCUCUGGUUCACGCCCAUGAACAAUUUCUUCCUAAGCUUAUAUAUAUACAUGUCAUAUACACUUUGGUUCUUCUAUUGUAUGUAUCUGUAUUUCUUUGCUUCUAAAUUAACCUUAGUUUUCUGCUUGGGAUGACCAGAAAUAAGCCAAGUCCUACUCCAAUGUUUUUGGUUAUAUAUGUAUAAUAUAUGCUUUGAUCUUUCUUCUUGGGUAAUAAUAUACCUCCAGUUAAAUAGUAAUGCAUUCUGCUGGUAGACAUUGAAAAUCAUUCAGAUAGCAACGGAAAUAUAUCAGUUCCUACUUCCCUGA